rnacentral:rRNA from 1 species
UACGUAGGGUGCAAGCGUUAAUCGGAAUUACUGGGCGUAAAGCGUGCGCAGGCGGCUUUGUAAGUCUGUCGUGAAAUCCCCGGGCUCAACCUGGGAAUUGCGAUGGAGACUGCAAGGCUGGAAUCUGGCAGAGGGGGGUAGAAUUCCACGUGUAGCAGUGAAAUGCGUAGAGAUGUGGAGGAACACCGAUGGCGAAGGCAGCCCCCUGGGUCAAGAUUGACGCUCAUGCACGAAAGCGUGGGGAGCAAACAGG